rnacentral:rRNA from 1 species
UACGUAGGGUCCGAGCGUUAAUCGGAAUUACUGGGCGUAAAGCGUGCGCAGGCGGUUUUGUAAGACAGAUGUGAAAUCCCCGGGCUUAACCUGGGAACUGCAUUUGUGACUGGCGGGCUAGAGUAUGGCAGAGGGGGGUAGAAUUCCACGUGUAGCAGUGAAAUGCGUAGAUAUCGUAAGGAAGACCAGUGGCGAAGGCGGGUCUCUGGACAGUUCCUGACGCUGAGGCACGAAGGCCAGGGGAGCAAACGGG